UACCAGCACCCCGAGUGGUCGGGGCGAUUAUUGGGCCUAAAGCGUCCGUAGCCGGUUUUACAAGUCCUCCGUUAAAUCCAGCUGCUUAACAGAUGGGCUGCGGAGGAUACUAUAAGACUAGGAGGCAGGAGAGGCAAGCGGUACUCAGUGGGUAGGGGUAAAAUCCGUUGAUCCAUUGAAGACCACCAGUGGCGAAGGCGGCUUGCCAGAAUGCGCUCGACGGUGAGGGAUGAAAGCUGGGGGAGCAAACCGG
rnacentral:rRNA from 1 species